rnacentral:rRNA from 1 species
AGAGUUUGAUCAUGGCUCAGAACGAACGCUGGCGGCGUGCCUAACACAUGCAAGUCGAACGCGAACGUCUUCUUCGGAGGACAAGUAGAGUGGCGCACGGGUGAGUAACGCGUAAGUAAUCUGUCCUGGCAUCUGGGAUAACCUAUCGAAAGGUGAGCUAAUACCGGAUACGUCCUGCGGGAGAAAGACCGCCUCUGUUGUAAGCGGUUGUGCGAGGAGGAGCUUGCGUACCAUUAGCUGGUUGGUGGGGUAACGGCCUACCAAGGCGACGAUGGUUAGCGGGUCUGAGAGGAUGAUCCGCCACACUGGAACUGAAACACGGACCAGACUCCUACGGGAGGCAGCAGUGAGGAAUAUUGCGCAAUGGGGGCAACCCUGACGCAGCGACGCCGCGUGGAUGAUGAAGGCCUUCGGGUUGUAAAAUCCUGUCAGAUGGGAAGAAGUGUACGAUGGUUAAGAGCUGUCGUAUUUGACGGUACCAUCAAAGGAAGCACCGGCUAACUCCGUGCCAGCAGCCGCGGUAAUACGGAGGGUGCGAGCGUUGUUCGGAUUUACUGGGCGUAAAGCGCGCGUAGGCGGUGUGAUCAGUCAGCUGUGAAAGCCCAUGGCUCAACCAUGGACGUGCAGUUGAAACUGUCAGACUUGAGUACUGGAGGGGGUGGUGGAAUUCCCGGUGUAGAGGUGAAAUUCGUAGAUAUCGGGAGGAAUACCGGUGGCGAAGGCGACCGCCUGGCCAGAUACUGACGCUGAGGUGCGAAAGCGUGGGGGAGCAACAGGAUUAGAUACCCUGGUAGUCCACGCCGUAAACGAUGAGAACUAGGUGUUGGGAUGGAUACCAUUUCAUUGGCGGAGCUAACGCAU